GUGCCAGCAGCCGCGGUAAUUCCAGCUCCAAUAGCGUAUAUUAAAGUUGUUGCAGUUAAAAAGCUCGUAGUUGGAUUUCUGUUAAUAAUUUAUAUAUAAUAUUUAACAUAUUUAUAUAAUAUUAACAUAAUUCAUAUUACUAUUUAUAGUAUAUGAAACUUUACUUUGAGAAAAUUAGAGUGCUUAAAGCAGGCUUUUGCCUUGAAUACUAGAGCAUGGAAUAAUAUUAAAGAUUUUUAUCUUUCUUAUUGGUUCUAAGAUAGAAAUAAUGAUUAAUAGGGACAGUUGGGGGCAUUUGUAUUUAACAGUUAGAGGUGAAAUUCUUAGAUUUGUUAAAGACAAACUAAUGCGAAAGCAUUUGCCAAGGAUGUUUUCAUUAAUCAAGAACGAAAGUUAGGGGAUCGAAGACGAUCAGAUACCGUCGUAGUCUUAACCAUAAACUAUGCCAACUAGAGAUUGGAGGUUGUUCCUUACU
rnacentral:rRNA from 1 species